UUGACUGUAAGAUACCCCUUUCCUGAACUCAUUAUUUUUUUAAUAUGUACAUUUUCCCUGUCUGUUUUGAUAUUCCAUGAAUGUCCAUUUAAUGUCUACAGAAGUCAAAUUCUGAGUUCUUAAACACAAAUUCAAAGGAAACUUGAAAUGAAGCGGAGAAUGACAAUCGAGAGAAGAAAAGGAAGUAAACAGUGUUACCAAAGCAAUCAGUACAGAGUGGCGAUGGUGAGGAGGGCAAAGAGAGCGAGGCUGGACAUGAGGGAGAUGAUGACCGUCAUGGAGUAUGCAGGGGAGACGGCGAAGGAAGAGGUGGAAGAAGGCAGAUGUGGAAUGUGCACACUUGGCCUGGAGGACGUGAUCGGCGGGAAGGCUGCAAGGAAACAACAGUGCCUCUUGCUUAUUUUGGAAACUUUCAGAGUCUGUUUUUGAGCAGAAGCACGCACUGUUGCAGUGUGAACGAUAGGCUAGGAUGUCAGGACCUCCUUGGUGAGCUGUCUGUAAAGUCCAGGAUUAAGAAUCAAAUAAGGUUCAUUUGCAAAGAAGAGGAGACUCAGAGGAGAAAAAGGGUUUUGUGAAAGAAAUAUAAAUCUCAGGCUUAGACUCCUUAUGCCUGACUCAAAAUGCACACUAAAAAUAUUUUCACAUGAUGAGACUGAAGGUUAGAAAAUCUGA